GUGGUGGGGGUUAAGGUGGUUGUGGGACACACUAACGUAUAUCAGAAGUAGAUAAUAGGGAAUAGCAGGUAAACAAGAACGCACGUACCGUUAGCUAACUAGCACCGAGAACGGUGGCGCAGAGGGAGGGGAGUGGAGGGGGAGGCUCCAGCGAGCGUUAGCUCAUUCCUUAGCCUCAAAGACUCAUUCUGAAGUAGCUGAGAGGAAUGCACACUGAACUAACACUAUGGCCGUAACUUCACCUAAGUUAACCGUAGUACUGCCGUAACCGUACCACCGUAACACCGUAGUUAGCCCAUACUAGCCCAUAUUAUCCCAUACACUAGACCAUACGUGAGUGGAGUGAAACUAGCAGAUUAGUACGUUCAAAUUCCCUCCACGCGAUAAGGCCAGAGUAAAUUCCGAAGGUACUACCAAUGAGUGGACUGAAACUAACUGUGACCAAACCACGGUUAGUCGAAGUGCUACGAGUGACUGGACUGGAACUAAACCACAUCAGCAGUAGAUGUACUCCACUCGCUACGGCCUUCCAGUCUGAAAGUACCAUAUGAGUGGCCUGAAAACUCACUCCAUCGGGUGCUGUCCCUACGGCCAGUGAGUUGUCUUACGCCCACGCGCAUGCGCGAGAGAGCCAGCGAGGCAAACCACACAGGGAGUGUCUAUAUUCAGGCCGGACGGAGAAUACGGUAGCAUA